GGCAGGAUGGCUGAGUAAGCGGCGGGUUGUAGCCCCGAAGACAGAGGUUAUAGUCCUCUUCUUGUCA
rnacentral:tRNA from 1 species